UACGUAGGUGGCAAGCGUUGUCCGGAAUUACUGGGUGUAAAGGGCGUGUAGGCGGGAAGACAAGUCAGAUGUGAAAUCCCACGGCUUAACUGUGGAGCUGCAUCUGAAACUGUUUUUCUUGAGUACUGGAGAGGAAAGUGGAAUUCCAAGUGUAGCGGUGAAAUGCGUAGAGAUUUGGAGGAACACCAGUGGCGAAGGCGGCUUUCUGGACAGUAACUGACGCUGAGGCGCGAAAGCGUGGGGAGCAAACAGG
rnacentral:rRNA from 1 species